UAGAAGUUCCCAGGCUAGGGAUCAAAUCAGAGAUGAAGCUGCCAACCUAUGCCACAGCCACUGCCACACUGCAACCCUGACACAUGUGUGACCUACACUCCAGCUGUGGGCAAUACCCAAUCCAUAACCCACUGAGUGAGGCCAGGGACUGAACCCACAUCCUCCUAGAGUCUACAUCAGGUCCUUAAUCCACUGAGCCACAAUGGGAACUCUGCAAAGCAUCUCUCACUGUAUUUUACAGAACCUCAUCCACAGUGGAUUCCCUCUGGGGACAAGAAUAUGUCCUCAGGGGAGACGUUUGGGAAGCCCUCUCCUGCUGGGCUGCAGGUGCCCAAUCUCCAGAUGCAAACCCAGGAGAGGAAGAAGGAAGGGGGCACUGAGCCACUGGCCAUGGAGGGUCCCUGCCUCUGGACCAUUCAGUUUCCCAAUAUGGCUGAAAUGAAGCCACACUCCUGUCUCAAAUCCUUCCAUUUCAUUGAUGAAAAUUACUUGCUGAGGAGUUCCUGUUGUGGCUCAGCAGGUUAAGAAACUGACUAGGAUCCAUGAGGAUGCAGAUUGGAUUCCUGGCCACACUCAGUGGGUUAAGGAUCUGGCACUGCUGAGAGCUGCAGGGUAUACUGCAAACAAGGCUCAGAUCCGGCAUAGCUGUGGCUGGGGUAUAGGCUGGCAGCUACAGCUCUGAUUUGACCCCUAGCCAGGAACUCCCAUAUGGCAGGUAUGGCCCUAGAAAAGGAAAAAGAAAGAAAUUACUUGCAGAACCUAAGAGUGUUAUGAACAUUUUAACAGGGCAACAACAACAGCAAUAAUCCCUAAUGUGGACAGUUCAGAGUAAAAGACAGAUCAAUGGCUUCUAAGCAUAUAAAAAUCAUUUUCAACGUCACCCCAAGAGAAAUAGAAAAUAAAAAGAGUGCACAUGUAUCAUAUAUCAGAUGAACAAAGAUUACGUUUCAUAAGACAGAGGGGCCCAGGUAUGGCCAAAAAAUAAAAUUUCCUAAGAUACUGUGCUGGUGAGGAAGUUGGAAAGUGUGCACAAAAGCACUCUCUUUUUUAGAAUGAAUCCCUAGGAGCUCCCUGGUGGCUCAGCAGGUUAAGGAUCUGGCAUUAUCCUGUCACAAGGAUCUGUCACUGCUGUGGUAAAGGUUUGAUGCCUAGCCUAGGACCUUCCACAUGCUGAGGGUGCAGUCAAUUACAAAACAACAACAAAAUAAAAACCAAGAAGGAAUCCCUAAUCCCUAAAACCUCAGACCUCUCAGUUGAUGAGCAGAUGCUGGGGAGGGAGAGGGUCACUUGCCUCUGUUAAUUUGGGGGCCUUCCUCUCUUUAGACAGUCUCACCAAAUGCGGGAUGCAAGGGUCCUGCCAGUAGCCACUGCUCACUGCACAUCUGGAAGCAAUGGAAAAGGAAACAGGUGAGGAGAGUAAGUCAGGCCAGGUUCCAUGGCCAAGUUCCCAGGACCCAAGUAAAGGAGCCACAAGAAAUAAUGUAUUGACCUCAAAGGCCAAGUCCCAUCUAGUGACCCAGCACCAGCAUAAACAGGCUUCUCCAUCCACCUUUCUAUUCCCAGACGCUGCCCAUCACAGUGCCCACCAUGCUCACUCUUCCCUCAGAUCACACAUUCCAUUCCCAGGCCGGAACAUCAAGUAACCCCAUGUCCUAUACCAUUCAGAAGACCUGCAACCAUGUAUUCAGUCAGCAAACUCACUGGCCAGAGCUGAUCAGAGCCAUUUCAUCCACCAAGAGAGUUGGGUCCAGGGGAAAGGAGAUCCCAAAAUAGUGGGCCCACAUCACUAAUAACUACCAAGGAAUUUCUCUGGAUUCAUAUACACCUGUCAUUUCCUGUCCCUUAGUCAGGUCUAAGGAGGGAAACCAGGAACACAUACACAAAACAGCUACAACUUGGGAAAUGCUAAGGAAGCCAAAACUCUAUCCUCACCUACACUACCAGGAUUUAAAGCGAGAGUGUUCCAACUUGGGGAGCUGAAGCCCAGCUGACCCCUGAAAGUCUCCUGCCACCAUGAGUGGAACCAGCCUGAGGACAAAUGACAAGUCAUAGAAGGAACCUGGAUCCCUAAGGCUCCAUCAUGCCCCAUGGCCUGGAGCCUUCUCUACGUCCCUAGGAAUAUGAGUGAGGUACCAGUGAGAUGAUAUAGGUCUUUACAACUUAAGCCAAAUUGAGUCGGGCUUCUGUUACUUGCAGCUUAAAGCAUCCUAAGUGAUAUCCUAAUAACACAACCACUUCCACAUUGUUUGCUAAGUAAGUCCAAACUGAAGAUGUGGGGCAGGAGGGGGGGAUAUGCUGGAUGUCACCCAUUAGGUUGUCAGCUCCUCGAUGCACAUAUCACAUCCUUCCUUUUCUUCACAUCCAGCAACAAGGCUUCCUGCUGCCUUGACUGCAAGAGGUGCUGAAUUUGGUACAAACAUGUCAACCCCUCCCCACCCCAGCCUCUCGCAUCCAUGCUUGCACAUCCAUACACACCCAGGAGGAAGCAUGCAAGUGAAGCUGCUCAAGGCAGCAACUCAACACAGCAACACACAAAGGACUCGCUAAGGGACAAAAUUCACUACAAGCCCAGACUGUCCAAGGAGAACAGAGCACACCUGCUCCCUGGUCUGAAAUAGUGCUUUUAAACAAGGAGCUGGGACUCAUUCAUAUCCUAAAAUCCCAGUAGCUUAACUGUAGCUUUACAAUUAGUAGAAGCGUGUAAAUUCCCCUAAGUCCCUCUUCUUUUGAAGAUAUUUUAUUUGGCUAGUCCAGAUUCUUUGCAUUUCCACACACAUUUAGAUUCAAUUUGCUAAUUUCUUACAGAAAAAGAAAAGAUGGCUAGAGUUUUGACUGGGACUUAAACAGCUGGUCUUUUGUAAUGCUAUAUUGUAAAUGAUAUUUUAAGUUCUCAUUUUCCUGUGCAUGCAUAUCUAUUCACAACACAGGUGUCUGACAAAGGAGUCCUAUCCAGAAUGUAUCAUGACCUCUAAUAAGGUGGAACCAACGUGAUCACCAGCAGCAACAAUGGGCAAAGGACUCCAACAGACCAUUCACAAAAGAAGUUGCAGAAAUGGCCAAUAAGCACCUGAGAAGUACGCAUUUGUCACCAGGGGAGUAUCAUUUAAGAUGAAAAUGAGACGCUAGUUCACAUCCACUAACAACAAUGAAUGUUUAACAAGGAUAUGGAGCCACUGCAGUUUGGAUACAUGGCGAGUGAGAAGUGCAAACUGAUAAACCACUGUGGAAAUUCAUCUGGCAGUUAAAUACAUACCCACAUAUGACUAAGCAAUUCCACUCCUAGAUAGCUAUCCAAGAGACAUUUCAGACUGCUACAACAGUGUUCCCUGCAGCCUGUUCAUGAUGGUCAAACACAGAUCCAACUCAAAUCUGUACCACCAGGUGAACAGAACAAAUCGUGUUAUAUUCACACAACAACACAAAAAGGAGCACAUGAUUUGACACUGACCAUGAUUCUCUCCUUGACCAACCUGUCACCUGCCUCCUCUGAGCUGCUCCUCGACUAGACCUCCACCUGGGCUUAGAAUAUAAAGGCCUGGAGUUCCCACUGCGGCACAGUGGUUAACGAAUCCGACUAGAAACCAUGAGGUUGCAGGUUCAAUUCCUGGCCUUGCUCAGUGGGUUAAGGAUCUGGCAUUGCCAUGAGCUGUGGUGUAGGU
rnacentral:lncRNA from 1 species